UUAGUUGUCCAGAUUGACGCGUAAAAUUAUUUACGAGGAAAGUCCGAGCAUCAUAGAACAAGGUGCUGGUUAACUGCCAGUGGGGGUGACCCUAAGGAAAGUGCAACAGAAAAUAACCGCCAAUAAUAUUGGUAAGGGUGAAAAAGCGGGGUAAGAGCCCACUAACGAGUUUGGAGACUUACAAGUUGUGUAAACCCCACCUGAUGCAAGGUAAAAGACACAUAGGCUGUUCGUCUUGUCUUAUACACCGCUUGAACUUAUUAGUAAUAAUAAGUCUAGAUAGAUGUCAAUCUAAUACAGAACUCGGCUUAUAGAACAACUAACAAG
rnacentral:RNase_P_RNA from 1 species